UUUCGCAGAGUAAUAGAAGCACGUGAUGUUGUUGAUGACCGUUUGGGAGGAAGCUUCCUAGUGACCUUCCUAUUGUUGCAGACAGAAGACUCUGAUUGACUCAGAGGAUUAGGCUUCUUCUCUGCUUUACUUAAAAAUCCUCUGUUUGAGGCAGAGGCUUUGGUAUUGUUGACUUAGGCUGAGUUUGGUUGACAUUCUCCUCCUUCUUCUGUUUCUUAGAACUCACCAUGUCCUCCUCUGUGAGACUUCUCUUUGCUGGAAUGAAGGGUUUUGACUUUGCUUGAACGGACUGUUUUAAUGACUCCUCAGCUUUCAACAUCUACAGGGAUUAAAGGACAAAAGUAUUAGUUUAUUUCAUUGAUAAAAUUAGAUGAAGCUAUUAAAAGUUUUAUAGAAUUUGCCUCAAGCUCAAGCUCUUCAGUUA
rnacentral:lncRNA from 1 species